CUCUAUCACCUAAACGUCUGCCUGGGCUUUGAAACACAGCAGCCACGGUCAUGGACUCAGUAAAUCUUUCUAGAAGAGCUCACCUUGAAAUCAGGCAGUUAUCUCAGCAGAGCCCUGUUUUCUCCUAAGAUUAGGUGUGUGCUGUUCUAGGAGGGCAGAUACCCUUUCUCUGAGUCCGACCAGCUCAGAAAGUGAUGUUGGCAGUGGCGGGAAAGGAAUCCAAGUGGAGGACAGCUCUGCUGCCAUGGGAGCGACAUUCCAGGGGCUGGGCUGGCAGCCGAGCCCAGGAUGAGCGGGGAGGACAAGGCUUACUGUUUCCUUCUGUGGAGGCUGCUGAGCCCGCCUGGUGAGAAAGGACUCUUGCCCGUUCUGUCUUCGUUGUGUCAACAAACAUUUCUAAAAGCACAUCCACUCGAGGGCCUGGGCUGGAUGCUGGGCAGGAUACGCGUCACCGAGACCAGAUCUCUGUCCUCAGGACGCUUUCUACAGGGGAGGGCAGGCACACGAGGAAACGAUGCCAGACGGUGUGUUUUUUGUUUGUUUGUUUGUUUGGCUGCGUUGGGUCUUCGUUGCUGCGCGUGGGCUUUCUCUAGUUGCAGCGAGCGAGGGCUACUCUUCAUGGUGGUGCGUGGUCUUCUCAUUGCGGUGGCUUCUCUUGUUGUGGAGCACGGGCUCUAGGUGCGCGGACUUCAGUAGUUGUGGCACGUGGGCUCAGUAGUUGUGGCGCACGGGCUUAGUUGCUCCACGGCAUGUGGGAUAUUCCCGGACCAGGGCUCGAACCCGUGUCCCCUGCAUUGGCAGGUGGAUUCUUAACCACUGCGCCACCAGGGAAGUCCCAGGUGGCGUGUUAUUUACACUGUUCAUCCAGCGUUGUUACCCACCACCCACCAUGUGCCAGCCACUUGGAAUCCGAUGGGAAAGACAGAAAAAGCAAAGCUUCUGCUCUCCUAGGUUUACGUUCUGGUAGCCCUGGAUGUCAGGGGGGACGAGUCCUCCAAGCAGAGGGAACAGCAGGUGCAGGGCCUUGAGAUGGACAUGAAUUUGGCUUCCGUGUCCAGUUGAGGCCCUGGUCUCCUCCAGGCGCUGACAUCUUCCCCUGAAAGACUUGAUGCUAUGAAGGCUUUCGAGUCCCACGUUGAAAUUGAGGUGACUCCUAAGAGCACCGUUUACAUCGUGAAAGGUGCCCCAUCGAAUGACACAAGCCGCAGGCAGAAGAUCAGGAGCAUGUUGGCUGCUGGCACCUGUCCCAGACUGUGUCAGAUGGGGCCCCGUCCCCAUCCAUCCCAGCUCCCCACUGCAGCAGGGAGGGGCUACGAAACCUCAGCAGCAGUCUAGAGGUGAGAAGUGAACUCGGUAUGAAAAAUAAGAUUUGUGCAAGCAAAGCACAGAGGUUGAGAAGAUCAGCAUUUAAGGGGAGGGGAGGCUUGGUGGGACUCGGCCGGUCCUGCCCCGGAGAGCUCUUGCAGGCAGGCUGGGGAGCUGGGCUGGAAGGUCAAGGAGGUUAGGUGUCCACAGCAAGCGCUCCUUGAUGUGCUCAAGGUUUUAAUAGAUUUCCACCGCGGGGUGUCUGCUUGGGGUCAGGGUUGGGGGUGAGUGCGAGACCCGGGAAGCCCUUCCUGCUCUGGAAUUCCAUGCUCAGGGCUGGCUGUGGACUUCCGGGGACCCGAGUUCCAUUCAUUGGAGCUAUUUUUGGUCUGCAGUAAGUUAGCCAGGCCGCGGGGCUGGGAAGGCGCCACCGCUGAAGGAGGUGAUUCACUGGGACAGGAUGCCCUGAGGCCACGUUGUGAGCCCCUGGGAUCCCAGAACAAGGGUCUCUAGUGUUUGGGACGCCCUGGGUUCAGGGGGUAACCUCUGCAGGGCCUUCAGCAGAGAGGGGGCAGGGAGGGCCCUCAGAUGCAACGGCAGAGGCUUUUGAACCCCUUCUCCCAUUCCUGACGUCAGCCCAUGAGCCAGGUUUAACUGCACAAACUGUCCUGCUGGGUGCUUAUUAGUAUCCCAUUUGACUGAGGCUCAGAAAGGUUAAAAAACUUGCCCAAGUUUACCAGGUAGCAAAUGCCAGAGCCAAAAUUCUAACCCAUAAAUUUGACAGCAAAGCUACUGCACCACACCACUCCAUGUUUGAGGGCCCCUCCCAGAGGGACAGAGUCAGUGAGUCCCGGGGAGGGAGGGGGAUGGAUGGAAGAGGACUGAGCUCUCGGUGCGCAACGGUCACGCUGUGGCAUCCUGCGUUGUCCUCUCCUCCAACCCUUUCAUUCCAAAAGGGGCAGCACUCAAAGGCUCUGCAGGAGAAGAGUUUGGACCUGAAGAGGUGUCCUGAGGUGGUGGACAGAGCCCUCGUCUGGGUAGGAGUGUCCCGGUUCUUUUUCUGGUUAAUGCAGGACAAGUUACCCACCAUCUGGUCCUCAGUUCCUUUAUCAAGGAAAGGCAGUGGGGUGGGAUAGAGGAAUUAGGAUGAGUAAAUGCGCACUGUACUGGCCUCACUAAGUUACAGAGACAAAACGGAGCCCUGAAUGAAAAAGUCACCAAAUAUAGUCAUGUUAUAAACAUCCUAGGCUCUUAUCUCGUUGACUCUCCAGCUCACUAUGUUUUGUACAUAUAUUUUGGUGCUCAGAUGGCUCAGCCCAAGUCGUGGGGCGUCCUAGGGUUCUCUGUGAGUCUCCCUGGCCAAAUCACCCAAGACCAUCAUCAAACUCUUGACCGGUUCCACUCUUGAGCAGCUGUCAGCUUCUGACACAAACAGCCUCAAUUCCACUUUCUGAAAAGUCAAAGAGCCCAGCUCUCUCUCCCCGCUGGAACUUUGCCGAGUCCACGUUCAUAACUCGGAGUCCUUGGUCUGGUCACCCCCCUCAGUCCACGUCCAAAAGAGGCCACGGCUUGUUCACAUUGAAUCUUCACAGCUAACUCGGCACACGGCACACAGCGGGGCUCAGCGAACCUUGAUGGAUACGUGAACUUUCCUCUGAUUUCUCCCCCCAUCCCCACUGAUUUUUUCAUUGCCAUGGAGAUGGGGAUAUUUCUGACCUCACCCUUUGGGAAUACCACAGAGAUUAGCUAAUUAUUAAGGCGGAGAGGGCGAAGCUCUCCUGGCACUUAGUGUUUAACAGAAAUGGCUGGGAGACAGUGGUGAAACCCCAGCGCCUUCGCAGAGCAUCGUGAAGACACACGGUGGGAGCCCUGACCCUUGAUGUUCAUUGCUCUGGGACCCUCCUCUCUUCUCUUGGCAGGCAUUCCCCCAGCGUCCAUCCUGGAGGCUGACCCCCCUACCAACUCCCCUGGACAGUGCCCCUCCCUCAGGGGAUUCUUCCUGCAGCUGUGCAACAGCUGGAGCCUUUGGAAGCCCUGCAGGGUCCAGAGGCCACAGUCACCUGCUGCCGAAGUCCCCCCCCGCCCCCCCCAACUUUCCCAUUUCCCAGAUCAGGUGGGCGGGGGUGGGGGGCACGGGUCCAAGGGUAUGAAGAAGGGCAGUUUACUUGGCUUUCCCCCGUGAUAGAAAAGUGGAUUGGAAUGGCCACUGGCAGUGAAUAAACCAGAGCAAAAGACCCAUGCCAGCUGGUGACCACUGGAAAAAAGCAGCAAAUUCACGAAUUACCCUAUUUACACCAGAAAUAAACUAAUAGUCUGGA